rnacentral:rRNA from 1 species
AACGUAGGAGGCAAGCGUUAUCCGGAUUCACUGGGCGUAAAGCGUGUGCAGGCGGUUCGGUAAGUUGGGCGUGAAAUCUCCUGGCUUAACUAGGAGAGGUCGUUCAAUACUACCAGACUAGAGAAUAGUAGAGGAAGAUGGAAUUCCCGGUGUAGUGGUGAAAUGCGUAGAUAUCGGGAGGAACACCAGUGGCGAAGGCGGUCUUCUGGACUAUUUCUGACGCUCAGACACGAAAGCUAGGGUAGUAAACGGG